CAACAGGGAUUGCCUCAGUAACGGCGAGUGAAGCGGCAAGAGCUCAAAUUUGAAAGCUGGCUCCUUCGGGGUCCGCAUUGUAAUUUGCAGAGGAUGCUUCGGGAGCGGCCCCCAUCUAAGUGCCCUGGAACGGGCCGUCAUAGAGGGUGAAAAUCCCGUCUGGGAUGGGGUGUCCGCGCCCGUGUGAAGCUCCUUCGACGAGUCGAGUUGUUUGGGAAUGCAGCUCUAAAUGGGUGGUAAAUUUCAUCUAAAGCUAAAUAUUGGCCGGAGACCGAUAGCGCACAAGUAGAGUGAUCGAAAGAUGAAAAGCACUUUGAAAAGAGAGUUAAACAGCACGUGAAAUUGUUGAAAGGGAAGCGCUUGCGACCAGACUCGCCCACGGGGUUCAGCCGGCAUUCGUGCCGGUGUACUUCCCCGCGGGCGGGCCAGCGUCGGUUUGGGCGGCCGGUCAAAGGCCCUCGGAAUGUAACGCCCCCCGGGGCGUCUUAUAGCCGAGGGUGCCAUGCGGCCAGCCCAGACCGAGGAACGCGCUUCGGCUCGGACGCUGGCAUAAUGGUCGUAAGCGACCCGUCUUGAAACACGGACCAAGGAGUCUAACAUCUACGCGAGUGUUCGGGUGUCAAACCCGUGCGCGCAGUGAAAGCGAACGGAGGUGGGAACCCCUCGGGGUGCACCAUCGACCGAUCCUGAUGUCUUCGGAUGGAUUUGAGUAUGAGCGUAGCUGUUGGGACCCGAAAGAUGGUGAACUAUGCCUGAAUAGGGUGAAGCCAGAGGAAACUCUGGUGGAGGCUCGCAGCGGUUCUGACGUGCAAAUCGAUCGUCAAAUUUGGGUAUAGGGGGCGAAAGACUAAUCGAACCAUCUAGUAGCUGGUUC
rnacentral:rRNA from 1 species